CGAGAGGUGGUGGCGAAACUAGAAAAUGAUUCUGAAGGGCAUGAACAAUUUGGAAAGGAUUUGGAGAAGAAUUUCAGGCUAAAGUCCCACCUUUCUUGCAAAGCUGCAUGAAUUCAAGCAUCAAGAACUCACGAAGAUGACAAAUAGCAAUUGUGAGAGCACUCCAAAAGAAGGAAAGGAAAAACGUGUUACCUUGGCAGUAUCCUUCUCCAGAAAGCCUGAUAAAAGAACAUAAACCAAGAAGGUGGUCUGGUCCUCUGGGAUCUCUAACUGGAACAAAAGUGAUGGCCGAAAAUAGUUCAGUUUGAAGCUUAACCAUAGACUUUCUCGGUAGUUGUUCUCGAAGUCAAUGGCAAUGGACAGCGUGUUCUUCACAUAAAGACAGCUUCAGUUCCCUGUCCCCUUGUCAUGAAAAAAAAUAUGAACCCCAGCUCCACCACACACAAAAAAACUGAUUUAGUCAAACUACAUUAUUUUAAUAC
rnacentral:lncRNA from 1 species